rnacentral:rRNA from 1 species
AUUGAACGCUGGCGGCGGCCCUACACAAUCCAAUUCGACCGAGCGGCGGACGGGUGAGUAUUGUAUGGGAAUCUGCCCAAUAGAGGGGGAUAACUACUGGAAACGGUGCCUAUUACCGCUUACUAUCGGUUGGACCAAUAUGGGAUUAGCUAUUAGGUGGGGUAAAGGCGUACCUAGGCGACGAUCUCUAGCUGGUCUGAGAGGAUGACCAGCCACACUGGAACUGAGACACGGUCCAGACUCCUACGGGAGGCAGCAGUGGGGAAUAGUGCACAAUGGGCGCAAGCCUGAUGCAGCCAUGCCGCGUGUAUGAAGAAGGCCUUCGGGUUGUAAAGUACUUUCAGCGGGGAGGCGUUACCCGCAGAAGAAGCACCGGCUAACUCCGUGCCAGCAGCCGCGGUAAUUC